GAUGAACGCUAGCGGCAGGCCUAAUACAUGCAAGUCGAGGGGCAGCACGGGUAGCAAUACUUGGUGGCGACCGGCGCACGGGUGCGUAACACGUAUACAAUCUGCCUUUUACAGGGGGAUAGCCCGGAGAAAUCCGGAUUAAUACCCCAUAACAAUAGAUUCGGCAUCGGAUUUAUUUAAAAGCUACGGCGGUAAAAGAUGAGUAUGCGACUGAUUAGUUAGUUGGUGAGGUAACGGCUCACCAAGACCACGAUCAGUAGGGGAUCUGAGAGGAUUAACCCCCACACGGAUACUGAGACACGGAUCCGACUCCUACGGGAGGCAGCAGUAAGGAAUAUUGGACAAUGCCCGCCAAGGGUGAUCCAGCCAUGCCGCGUGCAGGAAGACGGCCCUAUGGGUUGUAAACUGCUUUUGUCACCAGAGAAAACCUCCCUUCGUGAAGGGAGCUGAUAGUAUGGUGAGAAUAAGCAUCGGCUAACUU
rnacentral:rRNA from 1 species